rnacentral:rRNA from 1 species
CCUACGGGUGGCAGCAGUGAGGAAUAUUGGUCAAUGGGCUUACGCCUGAACCAGCCAAGUCGCGUGAGGGAAGACUGCCCUAUGGGUUGUAAAUCUCUUUUGUCAGGGAGCAAUUGGCGCUAUGUGUAGCGUUAUCGAGAGUACCUGCAGAAAAAGCAUCGGCUAACUCCGUGCCAGCAGGCGCGGUAAUACGGAGGAUGCGAGCGUUAUCCGGAUUAAUUGGGGUAAAGGGGUGCGUAGGCGGAAUGCCAAGUCAGCGGGAAAAUCGCGGGGCUAAACCUCGAUCGGCAGUUGAAACUGGCGUGCUUGAGUAGGCGAGAGGUAGGCGGAAUGCGUGGUGUAGCGGUGAAAUGCGUAGAUAUCACGAGGAACUCCGGUGGCGAAGGCGGCAUACCGGAGCCCAACUGACGCUGAGGCGCGAAAGCGUGGGGAGCGAACAGGAUUAGAUACCCGGGUAGUC